GAGCAGCCUGGCAACGGCGGUGGCGCCCGGAGCCCGAGAGUUUCCAGGAUGGCUUCUGCAUCAACUUCUAAAUAUAAUUCACACUCCUUGGAGAAUGAGUCUAUUAAGAGGACGUCUCGAGAUGGAGUCAAUCGAGAUCUCACUGAGGCUGUUCCUCGACUUCCAGGAGAAACACUAAUCACUGGUAAGGACCUGCUGACAUAAGAUUUGCAUAACUUGAGGAGAAGUCUGGCAGGAUCAGGUGGCUUCAGUCCCGCUUACUCUUUAGCAGUCAGGCUUAGACAAAUAGGCUACCUUUGUUUAGAAGCGUUAACACAGAACUCUCUGCAUCCCUUUCUUGAUUAAAGAGUUCUUUUGAGAGCUUCAUGCUCACAAGGGUAGUGAUAUUCUUGUGUCUGUACCAAAGACUGAGAAUGAUUUAGGGGAAAAAAAUGUGGAUUAUCUCUUGAAAGUCUCUCAUUGGAGCCAUAAGCUCUCAUGGUUUAAGGUUUUAAGAGCAAAAUGAUUUCCAGUCAAUGAUGCAUGCUUUAAAAUGAUAAACUUAAAGGCUUGAAGGCUUAAUCAUUCUCCUCUUUGAAAUAUAGGAGAACAUAUUGCUUUAAAAUAU
rnacentral:lncRNA from 1 species